UCAGAACGGCGUAGCAGGGCGGGCCAAGUGGCCUUGACGAAAAGUUCUGGGCAGAAGCUGUGAACACGGCAGUGUAUGUGAAGAACGUGCCAUGAGGGCAGCCUUUGUAGGUGAUUUGUUGAUCUACACCUGAAGAAAAUGGAGCAAUAAAAAGAGGAUUCAUCGGGGGACUCCAAGAACUCUGGAAGAAAAGGGUGCAGAGGCAGUGCAGAUGGCAGUCAUACUGGGAACAGAGUAAAUCAUAGAUGAUGAGCCUCAGACUGUGGGGGAAGCUCUGCAAGGCGAUGAAAGACCAAAAUGGUAGGAAGCAAUGGAAAAUGCAUAUUCUUCAUUUAUUUCUAACAAAUGCUCGACACUCAUAGACCAAAGGCCUGAAACCCGUUAAAUGCAAGUGGGUAUUCAAUAAAAAACGUGGUCUGAAAAGAGGUGUUAGAAUAUAUGGCAAGAUUUGUGGCCAAAGGAUAUAUACAAAGAUAUGGUAUUGACGAUCAUGUCACUUUUGCACCCCUAAUAAGGCACUCUACUAUACGCUUAUAAAACAUGUCGAGGAGACCUGGACUAUAAAGUCUUAAAUCACCAACCCGCAUUGAGCAAGCGUGGUGAUUAAUGCUCAAUCUUUCUGCGUAUGAGAGGAGGCCUGUGGCCAGCAGUGGUGUGAUAAGAAAGCUGUAACUGACUGUACGCUUGCUACUAGCAUUAGCAGCAAAAUAUAAAUUAGAAAUUAAUUACUUGGAUGUGAAGACUGCAUUGAAUGGUCACCUGAAUGAAACUGUGCUGAUGGAACAGUCGAAAGGUUAUAAAGUAUCUGGUGAGGAACAUGAAGUGUAUAAGCUCAACAAAGCUUUUUAAGUCCUGACAUGAUAAACAUAAUGGAGUUCAAGUGAAUAAGUUAAAUUUUAAAAGGAUGUCUUCUGAAUCAUGUGGAUACUAUAAAGGAAAUGGGGAGGAUAUGAUUAUAAUUACCCUAUAAGCAGACGAUAUAAUGAUUUUUGUGUCAGAAGCUUCAACAGAUAAGAAAUCAGUGACCAACCGAACAACUCAUGAAGAAGUUCCAGAUACAGGAGUUAGGAUAUGCCCAUCAACUUCUUGGCAUGAAAAUUGCAAGUAGAGAUGGUACAAUUUGUUUGGAUCAAACUGAAAAAAACUUCUACAAAGAUUUCCUAUGACCACGUGCAAACCAGAAUGAACACCUAUGGAAACGGCUUCUAAACUGCUAAAAUAAAUUAAGGAUGCGAAAUACGAUUACCGUUUAAUAGGAUGUUGUAUUAUCUUGCAGUAUCUUCUGGGCCUGACAUGGCCCAUGCAGUCAGCGUUCUCAGCCAGCUCAACGAAGUGAUACUAAGAGACUCACUGGAAAGCCACAAAAAGAGUAUUGAUGUAUUUUAAAGGUACGUCUCGUUAUUGCCCAACAUUCAAGCUAGUUGACCUUUAGAUCAAUGCCUACACAGACAUUGGGGUGGAAACUAGAUAACCAGGCUUUCGUAAUGUAUGUUAUUUGGGUGCGUCUACACUCGCGCACGCAGGUGGGUAUUUUGCUUUGGUAAAUGCGCAAGUCGCUAGACAAGCACAUUUUCAAAAUGCAUGUAACCUUAACCUGCACAUGUUCCUCGACAUGCGCAAGCUACUUGCACCGUGUAGAUGCACCCUUAUUAUUUUGUUAUAUAGUUCAGUUAUAUCUUGGGAGAGUCGAAAGCAGAGAACUGGGGCGCUUUCCACUACCGAGGCUGAAUACAUGGUGCUAUCUGAUGCUUGUAAAAAGCUAUGUUUUUACGUCAUUUUCUGUCUGAAUGUCUGGGUAUUGAGAGUAAAGUAAACAUUCAAAAUAAUAACCAAAUUGCUUAAAAACUUUGUUCGAAAUCUGUUUAGAAUGAACAUAUGAAGCAGAUAGUUAUAAGACAUCACUUUAGAGAUACCUACCAUGUCCCACCUCAUCGCAUGUCCACUGUGCCCUGAAACUUGCUCGCGGCAGGCCCUAAUGAGCGCAUCCGGCCGUGCUCUCGCUGUGGCGGCAUAUUGGGCUGACAAAGUGUAGUCUCACAAUAAGACAUGUCAUCGACACGAAAGAAGAAGAGAGAUCUAUAGUUAACAAAGGGUUUGUUAAUAUAAUUUGACCACCAACGCUAUGGUUGCUAAUAUACUUACAAAAUCGUUGUCUAAAGAUAAACAUGAUGAAGUUUGUUUCAUCUCUGCUAAAAAUAUUGUUGUUAUCUUGAAUAAAAACAUUGUGAAGUUUU
rnacentral:lncRNA from 1 species